AUGGACGACCCGGGGGCUGGCCGCUCGGCCGGAGCACGCGCCCUGGUCACUGGAGGCUCAGGUUGGGUGCAGGCGGGGUGACUGUGGCCCUCUGUCCUCUCAGCACGGAGUAACUGAGGGGGACCAGAUGCUUUUCAGCCUCGGACUCGGGCCAGCAGGGCGGUGGAACUGUGGCUCCUUCAGGCGGGACGUUUUUCUGUAACGUCUCUGCCUGUCAGUCCAUCUGGAAGCCUCGCCCCACCCCUGACUGUCUGCAGAGCUGGCAGACCGCCACCACACAAGCCGCCACCACUUCCUCCGUCCUCCUUGGCAGACGCCACUAAGUGCUCACGGGUGGGGUCUGAACGCAGCCUCAGAAUCCUUCUCAACACUUGCUGGGAGCUGCCAUUCCAGACGGACCCUCCAGACCGCCGUGCAGCUGGAAAGAAUCUCACGCUGUCAGGACCAAGGCUGAGGUUUUCGGUCACUGCCACGGGAUACAGUAAUGAAGACAGAGCAUCUCUCAGAGUGGAAACCAGUCCCCACUAUGGUCAGCCCGGAAGCAUCACCUGGGACCCGUCAGAGGCUCAGCAGCUGUUCACGGAGAUUCAACUGAAAUUAGUCAGAUUCACCUCUUUGCUAACAGCGAGUCUUUGCCCCACAGAUUGGCCUGGCUCGAGUCGUGUGCCUAAGAGACUCACGUAUGCACGUCAGUCCUGUCACCGCAGCAGGUAGCACAAGGCCUCAAGUCCCCGAGGCAGCAUGGCCAGUGCGGGCCCUGUGCAGGUGCGAUGUCACUGUCGCUCCUUGACUGUGCUUAGUGGCGCUGGCGGACGGGGACGCGUUCACGGAGGGGACCGAAAGCGAGAUAGAGGUUUCUGUCCCUGUGAUCUAUUGAUGCCCACAACCCUGCAUUUAGGGAUUUAGAACAGCAAUCAUGUGACUGUAUGUCCUGAUUUCAUGGGUCAGGCGUUCGGGCUGCUGCAGCUUGGUGGCUCCCCCGUGCCUCCUGGAGCUGAAAGGGGUCACUUGAUGAUACCCAUCUGGCGGGUGGGCUGGUCCAGGGAGCCCAAGACCACUUCAUUCACACGCCUCCAGCCUUGACGGGGCGACCUGAAGAGAGCACCAGGGUGGACUCUCCAGCCUGGCCGUUGCAGGGUCCUCGGAUUGUCCCCUGGUGGCUGACCUCUUCCUGAGUGAGGAGGUCCCAAAGAGAGGGUAGAAGUGAGGAGGCAUCUACCAUCCUGUCCAGACGUACCACAAGCUCUCUUCUGCUGCCUCACUUCGAGCAAGAGCAUGUCGUGGAGCCAGCCAGCACCCCGGGCCAGUGGGCGGGGGGGCCGGCUGCCCCUGGCAAUGGGGGGAGCAGUGGAGACCCUGCAGCCGUCCUUCAUCCACCACCGCACAGGUUGAGCCUCUGGCGUGUGGGGCAGGGAGAGGAUGGAGUAGGCAGGAGGCAAGGACUGAGUCCUGCAGGACCCCUGCUCAGCGCUCAGUGUCGCAGAGGGGUCCGGCUGUUUGGCCCAUGUGGCCUUUAGAAUCGCUCCCUGCCCUUCUCUGAGCCCUGAGAGGCUGACUCUGUGAGCCCGGGGCCCAGCGUCUCUCCCGCCGGAGGAGACAGGAGGCAGGAAUUUGUCCUCCCAGCCCCAUUGUGGUUUAGCAGUAGCUUGUUCCUCUCCCCAUUCCCUUCUAGUACCCAACCCCGCCCCCAUGCCAUCCCCCAUCCCCCCAUCCCCCCUGCCCCCAUCCCCUUGUCCCCUCCCCGGUUGGCCCAGGCCGUUGCCGCAGUGUCGGCCAGCCUUGCACCUUCCCUGCUGGUCUUGCCAGUUCCCCUCGGACACGUCCCCUCAUCACUCCCUCUCCUCUGCCCUUCGCACUGCAGCGUUUCCCCACAGGUGCCUGACCCACACGGCACAUUUAAAAAUAGUCACGUGAGGGGCCGGCCCCGUGGCCGAGUGGUUAAGUUCUCGCGCUCUGCUUCCGAGGCCCAGGGUUUUGCUGGUUCGGAUCCUGGGCGCGGAGAUGGCACCGCUUGUUAGGCCACGCUGAGGCAGCGUCCACAUGCCACAGCUAGAAGGACUCACAACUAAAACAUACAACUAUGUAGCGGGGGGGCUUAGGGAGAAAAAGGAAAAAUAAAAUCUUAAAAAAAUAUAGUAACA
rnacentral:lncRNA from 1 species